GGGGAGGGUAUAAAAAGGGAAAUCGAAUCUGUAAUAGGGGUUAGCAAAAUUUUGUAUUGAAAAUUAAAAAAGAAAUUACAGGAGAAAAACGUUUUUUGAAGGUGAUAGAUUUUGUUUUUCCUUUUGUUUUUUACUGUUUUUACUUUGUUUUUGUUUUUUUUUCGUUUAUAAAAACAAAAAAAGAAAGAAUAAAGAAAGGGAGUAGAGGGAAACUUACCGGUGUGGCGUCGUUGAAGCUCCUUCAUUUCGUUGCCAUUGGAGCAGGGGAAGGGUUUUGAGGG
rnacentral:lncRNA from 1 species